CCGAGUGCGCGGGGUUGGCCCGCGGCCUUUGCUGCUCCCCGCGGGGCGCACGGAGGGUUUGUCGCCGGGCGCGCAUGGACUGGGGAGAACUCUGCCCGCCGGAGCCGCUCUCUCCGCACCGCGAGAAAGAGCAGAUAAUGCUCAUUAUUCUGUGGUAAAUGAUACUCGGAUGUUCUGCAGCAGCAGGAAAUUCAAUGUGUGGGUACUCAUUAAAGGGUACAUGUGAAUUCACAGUCCAAGUGAAUGCAUCCAGCAACCAGGGCAGCUUGAUAAGUGAUGCUGUAACAAUUGUCAGGCCUCCAGGAGCCAAACCUGUGUGGAUUGGCAGUUGAUCAGGAAGGGUCAGCCAGGACUGUGCAUGUGCUUAAAUGCUGGAACUGCCAGUUAAAGUCACUGUUGCACAAUAAGAAGCUGAAACCAAGAGAACAAAUGAUCUUCAGAGUCAGAAGGCAAAAGAAAG